GACGUAGGGGGCAAGCGUUGUCCGGAUUUAUUGGGCGUAAAGAGCUCGUAGGCGGCUCAGAAAGUCGGGUGUGAAACCUCCAGGCUCAACCUGGAGACGCCACCUGAUACUGCUGUGGCUAGAGUCCGGUAGGGGAACACGGAAUUCCCGGUGUAGCGGUGAAAUGCUUAGAUAUCGGGAGGAACACCAGUGGCGAAGGCGGUGUUCUGGGCCGGAACUGACGCUGAGGAGCGAAAGCGUGGGUAGCAAACAGG
rnacentral:rRNA from 1 species